GGGUUCGGGUUUGCAGAAGUGAUGAGAUUGCAGUGGUGAUAGGACAGUCUGGAAAAGCCCUCACUGGGAAGGUGAGGAGUCAACAGAGCCCUGAAACCGUGGCAUUAGAAUUUUUUCCCAUCCUAUCGAACAGCAAGAUGCACCCCAUUAUCCUUUAUAAAAUUUUAUUCUCACCUACAACUCUAUAUUAGUUCCUGGGUUUUUAUAAGAUCAUUAUUGGUAUAUCUAUCUAGGGGUAACUUUUGAGAAUGACACCCAAAAUAAUCUAAAUCAUUCUGUUUUCUAAACUGGUUUGGCAAAAUCCAUAUAAACAAUAUAGGUUCCUCUUCAUUCUCAGAGUUUAGUUCAUUUUAAAUUUUGUCUUGUGAAAUCUGUAUAUGUCUCAAAAAUACUUGAUAACCGCUUUUCAGUAGAAGUUAUGGCCUUAAACAUUUCUGUAAAGCUGAAAGGAAAUGCCAUUUAUGAUUUAUCAAUGGGAAACAAGCUAUAAAUUUUGAGUUACUUCAGAAACAAAAGGGGUGAAAUUUAUGGCCUAGUGCUAUAUGCUUUAAUUCUUAACUCACGAGCAAAAGUUUUUUGAAAAACACCAAUAUCUAAAUAGUAAAAGAAACUUUUUUCACAAAGGAGGAAACCCUUUCUUCCCCUACCUCAUUUCAAGCUCCACAAAAUUUAAAUUUGUGAUGACGGGCAAAUAGUAUAAUUGAGUUAAUUUGAUAAGGUAGAGACUUGCAACUUUUUAUUUAUGGGAGCAUCAUCUUACGGUAUUUGCUGUUGAUCGGUUUCUUCCGUCCGGGCAGGCACCUGGGGCAUGAAAUUUUGAAAGAAAAUGUAAACUAUUAGCUUUUCCUCUUUUCUUAAUUUAAAAUACAAUUCUAAGUGAUUUUAAAGACACUUUCCUUUGGAAAUUUUGCAUUUCGUUUCUAUUCUGACUCUGAUGAGUUGUUUUUUUUUUACAUUUUAUUUUGCUUUAGAAAAAACUUUAGGUAGCUGAAUAGGUUUCCCCAACAUGAGAAAAAUGGUCAUGUAAGUUUAGAAGAAAUAUUUGUGUACAUCCUUUGGUCUUGGCCUAAAGAUUAAACAUUAUUUACUGGGCAUGUCUCUUAAACCUACCUCACUGGAAUUUGGAAGAAUAUUCCAACAGUAAUGAUAAAUAAGCCUCAAACUUAAUUUGCAACGAAUUAGCCAUAUUUUUACUCCACUUGAAAUACCGGAGACUUGGGGCAAGAUUUAGUUACCCUUUUCUAUUUAAUAAUACUCCAUUAAAUGUGACCUGUAGAGAUUAUGAAGCUUAUCAAAAAUAUAGUCUAUAAAAAUACCCUAAAUAUGACGAUGCUUUUUAUGUAUUAAAACUGAGCUCAAGUAGUCCAAGCAACUGAUACUGGGAUACAUCGUGACCUGUAAGUUAGGAAAAAUAACAGAUGAGAGUCAUGUUUAUGCUUCUCUUUUCAAUUAUAAUCAUGUUUUUGAAAUUACAGAUCUCCUAAUUUUCCAAUCCUUAUCUGUAAGGAAGACCAAUGUAUAUAAGUUUUACGGGUGGAUGUGAAAAUUAGCAAACUAUUUCAUUUUAUUCAAUAUCUUCAUGAAGAUAUCAUUGGCAGGGCAGCUCAACAUUUUACAUGGUUAUCUUCAACAAGGGAACUGUAAGUGUUCUUUAAGUCAUUAAUUAGCUAAUCCUUAUUUACUGCGUAUAGCCAUCACAAUUCAUAUGAAUAAUGCAUGGGCUUCUCAGAAUUAUUAGUACUGUACAUCAAAUGAAUGUUUGAAAGGGGAAAUAACUCUUAGUCUUUGGUAAAAGAGUAGGCAUAAAUUAAAUUUCCCGUUUGCCAGACUCAGCAGACACCGUUUCAUGUGUUGAGUUGUCCUUGGAGAAGACUGAGGCCAUUGUUUCCAUUAACAACAACAAAAAAAUCCAAUAAUGUUAAAACAAAAAUACCACUAUAAACAUGAUCAACUGAGGUAAAAUCCCUGCGAGGAGGUACUUGAAAAUCUCAAGCAACUUGAAUCUUCUUCAAGAAAGUUCAACACAGCUCUCUCAGAAAACCUGGAGAUGCAUGUCUAAAAUUCAUAGGAGUUCUGUGAUAAGUCACCUACCUAGAGACCAAAAUAACAGAGCAGAGAGAAAGGAAGCUGAGGUAAGAAAGGGAGGAAAAGGGAAGAAAAGAGCCCUGGGGGGGGGGGGGAGCUCAUGCUAACUCUUAGUACUGGAGGACUUGUAGGAAAAUACUUGGUGCCAGUCUCUUGUGCCCAACACUGUAGCAGACGUUUCCUAUGCCUUACCCACCCUUCAAGGUGUGUGGUUUCAUCCCAACUUGUCCACAGAAACUGAAAGAGUGUUCAAGCUGCCCAGGCCUCACAGCUAGUAAGUAGGGAACUGACUUUGAACCCAGGUUCAAAUUUUUACCAUACUAUGAUACCACCUCUUAACUAAAAUCAAAUUCACAAAGCAAACCAAAAACAAAAGCGUGAACAACCGAUCGUAAUGGAGUCAUGCCUGUAUCCUUUAUUACUGACAGAAGAAAAGCAAAUUUGAGUACAAGGUUUUAAGUCCUGCAAGAUGAACAAAGAAGAGAAAUACUUAACUGCUGUUCGCGCCAUGAAAGAGAAACAACUCAAUCUUGCAAAGUUCUUGGGAGGUUUGCAAGCAGAACCCGGGUCACAGUUUUGAGAAGACAGCCUCACAGAAGACUGCGUGUGCUAUGCAGCUGGGCUAUACUGGGUUCUCCAUCUGCACUUGGAUCUUCAAGGAUCAUCGUUUGGAUGACCAUGCAGGCGCAGAGAACUGAGACAGUGAUGUUAGGAAGCUGGUGAAAACGCUCCCCUAUUUAUUUCUGCCUGCUUGUCUGUGACCAGUGUUUCACAAAAGGAGUGAGAAAUUAGUAACCACAUGCUGGGUAAGAUGUUCACGAGAAGGUCAGGAAGCUUGUUUGUCAACCUUAAUUGACAACUGAUGUUUAAAAGGCGAAGCAUCAUUCUCGUAAUUUAAUGGGAGAAAUUGCUAUUUAAUGCCAGAGGGGGAAGAGCUACCAUGUGCAAAAGCCUGUGGAAAUGAGAAAGGCGGACAAAAUAAUCCCCUUUUUGUUUUAGGAAAACGUAAAGUGGUGCCCCAGGGAUUGUUGGCAAAUAUUAUCAUCUUUGAAAGCUACUACUUAACACAAAUUCCGGGAAACCAGAGGCUUCUGGGUAAUGUGAAUCACAAGGAAAGAAUGCCCCGUUUUGUGGCUGAAACUUUUUAAUGGAAUACUGGUUGAUCUUAGCGAAGAAGGCCAGGGGUCAGGGUCAGUUUGGGAGAAUUUUCUGCCUGUUUCUGUAGAGGCCCCUACAUAAAACACUUCUUUCUCGGCCUGAUUGAAAUGUUUCAUGUGAUCACCUACCCAUGGGAGCCACUCACAUCUCCAGAGAUACGCUUCCUCCUUUUUCCCUAUGUUGCCUAACUUGAGAUAGAGCUUAAUAGGGCUCUACUCAUUCUUUAAAUGAACACUUAUUAGGCACUGGUUGCCUCCAUGCCUCCUGUCUUUGACGAUCUUGAUUGAGAGAUGGUGUAUCUGAGACAGGAUCCCCUUAGCCGUACAGAAUCACUCUACGUUUUAAACCGGAGGGCAUUUACUACAGGGGAUUGGUUACCUGAUGAGGGGGAAACCGAGAUGCCAAAGUGGGUGGUAAGGCCACCCAGUGGUUAUCGUAAGAGCAGGCAACUGCUUCGGCCCCAGGGCUGCAGAGGGCCGGGGGGAACUAGUGGGGGGGUGUUGUUGUGGGGUGUCCAGGAGCAUCACAGAAAGCUGAGAGGAGGGGAGAGAUAUCCUGACUCCUUUGGGUUCCUAGCUUUCUAAUCUUUCACUGGUGUCUUCACAGGCCAAACCCAUCCAGAACUGGAGGAAAGGGAGGAAGAAGCUCCUUGUAAUACAGAGUACAGCACUAGGAGAGAGAUGGGUAAGCCAGGACUGUACUGUGAUGUAGUCUGUCUGUGCUAAGUCCUACGAGAGCAGGUUGCACGGACCUCUGUGUGCUGAGAUGCCUUCAGAAGAAGCUAUUACUUGAGCUGCUUCAUAAUGAAUAGUUCUAUGGUAGGAAAAGGCAGGGUGGGGGUAGGGGAGGAAGGGUGCUUUGAAAGAGAGGGGAAAAGUCUUGGAGGGCUCAAAGCUUAUGUUGGAGUUGAGGAAUCACAAACAGCUCUUUGGGGAUAGAGCAUCAGUGGAUGGCAGGUGUGCAGGGGAUGAAUCUGGAAAGAGUUGGGGACCUCCUAACACUUAGGACGAGGAGCUGGCCGCGGCUAGGACGCUAGGAUGGGGACAGUGUCAUUGAGAGUUCCCUCGGGGGUCUGCACCAGCGUGAAAAUGUGGUGUAAGGGGGAGACUGAAGACAGGGAGGUCGAUUAGAAGGAGGAGAGAGUGGGGAGAAGGGCAGGACUCCCCAGGGAGGAGCACGCAGUGAGGAGGGGAACCUAGUGACGUCAAGAACGUUGAAUGGAUAGGAUUUGGAGAUUUUUUUAAUGUUCAUUUUUGAGAGAGAGAGAGAGAGCGAGCAGGGGAGGGGCAGAGA